CCUACGGGAGGCAGCAGCUGGGGAUCGUGCGCAAUGGACGAAAGUCUGACGCCGCGACGCCGCGUGUGGGAUGACAGCCUUAGGGUUGUAAACCACUUUUGUUCCGAUGGAUACAUCGGGAAGAAUAAGCACCCGCUAACUACGUGCCAGCAGCUGCGGUGAUACGUAGGGUGCAAGCGUUGCCCGGAUUUAUUGGGCGUAAAGCGUUUGUAGGCUUUCUUGUAAGUUAUACUUCAAAGACUGAGGCUCAACCUCGGGAAGGGGAAUAAUACUGCAGGAAUUGGAACAUCUAGGGGCUACUGGAACUUAUCAUGUAGGAGUGAAAUCCGUUGAUAUGAUAAGGAACGCCAAGGGCGAAGGCAAGUAGCUGGAGACUGUUCGACGCUGAGAAACGAAAGCUAGGGGAGCGAAAGGGAUUAGAGACCCCUGUAGUCCUAGCCGUAAACUAUGCUCGCUAGCCCUGUUGAGUCUGACUUAACGGGGCGUAAGCUAACGCGUUAAGCGAGCCGCCUGGGGAGUACGAACGCAAGUUUAAAACUCAAAGGAAUUGACGG
rnacentral:rRNA from 1 species